UGUGAGCGCAUUGCUUGUGCUGGAGAUGGUCUCACCGACAGACUCCCUGGAUGUCCGUCAAGCACCCAGAGCGCUGACAGGCCCUGAGCCCCGCCUGGGGGUGUCGCUUGGCUGAGCCCUGACAGGAGGGGUAGGAUGUGAUCAGGCCAGUUGCUGGAGGACUCGCAUUUGAAGCAGAGGAGAAAGAGAAAGCAAGUUCCCCGGGUCAGCACAGGGCUGUGAGUGGGGGCUGGCGAGCUGGCUGCGGCUGCCAAGUCAAGGUGGGCGGCCAGACUUCCUCCUAAGGAAGGGCUCGCAUCGGAUGGCGCCAAGACCACGGGUCUUAGUUGCGGCAUGCGGGAUCUAGUUCCCUGACCAGGGAUGGAACCCAGACGCCCUGCAUCGGGAGUGCAGAGUCUCGGCCACUGGACCCCCAGGGAAGUCCCUCCUGUGUCUUUCCUGCACUCCACAAUGCACCUCGCACUCACAGGUCUGCAGUGUCUGCUGACUGACUCCACGACUGGCGGCCCGGGGCGCAAUGCAGAGAUGACAUGUUCGGAUGACAGACAUGGUCAGUACCCAGACACAACCCUGGAACCUCGGGUGGGGGUCUCUGCCACACGCCUCACAUCGUCAACCUCUGCCCUCUAGGUGACCUGAUGCCUCCUUUCUCCUCUGUCUGCACACGUGGCUGACAUCGCCUGUGCUGGGGGAUGAGGAGGGCCAGGGCAGGGGGGAGGCGGGAUGGAGGCAACCUGAUCGUCCCCGGGCCUCUGCCUUUCUUCCCACACGUUCCCUCGGCUGGAGUCACUUCCCCAGGCCUUCCCUCCACCCUUACUUCUCUCUCCUCUGAGGGCCUUUGCCAGCAUCCCUUUGAGAUAGCCCUCCCUGCCGGGGUGCUCCACCUCCUUCCCCUGCUUAAUUUUCUUCCUAUCACCUGUUACUACAUGCAGUUGUUUCUCUCUCUGUGUGUAGUUCGCUUAUCUUUUAAUUAUCUGUCUCCCCCACUUCAUGUAAGUUUCAUGAAAGCAGGGCCCAUGUCUGUCUUAUGGAUUAUUGUCUCUCUGGGGCCUGGAACAAUGCAAGGCAUACGUGGCACUCAAUAAACUUUUGUUGAAAGAAAG
ensembl:lncRNA